AUGAACCAGGUCCCAUAUUUUUCAUCGGGCCGAAUCCAACAAGAUUUUCUAAAUGGAUCUUUGUUCAAAAAUUCCUCUGUUAUCCCUGAGGAUAUACCAGUAGAAUGGAAUGCGCAUUUAAGUCUUGUAACAGAAACUUCGCUUUUAGAACGCACACCUGCCCUUGCUGUUGACUACCUGUUUGUAGUAGAAAACACGCAUGUCCUCGACAUCAAUGAAGAAGAGCAUGAGAUCAACGAAGAAAAAGUGCUCACUAGGAUCAUUAUUGGACCGUUACUAAUUAGAUUGAACUCUGGUUUAAUUCAUAGGCUACAAAGAAUCCAUUUCAUCUCAACAUUAUAUGACUACCAACCAUAUAGUUUUUUUGCUGCCAGGCAGGAUUCCAUGGGUAGUCAAAGUGCCUUACCAAAGUUAAAUGAGGAAGAAUUACUGUGUGUAUUAGGCGGUAACAUCCCUCAGAAUGUUGUCCAGUUUACAGCUUUUAAUCCAGUUCUUGAAAUUUAUGCUGCUUCUCAUCCUCCAGUCUCCUCCGUCAGACAAAGAAAAAUAUCCAAAGUCCAGAAACGCAUUCUUCCUGGCUCUUCAGAUGUAGUUCCUCCCAGGUUUACAUUAGAGUGGCAGUGUCUGGAUGGUAAAAUGACGACCCCUCUCCGGUUGAAGCAAAUAGUCUACACUCUCCUUUCUCUACGGGAAAAGUUGCCAAAUUCACUGUUAAAUGCUCUUCAAACCUUCAUAUCAGUCAAGGGUUUAGGUCUCGGCUCUAGUUUGAUUGUGAAUCCAGGGAAAACACUGAAAAUUUUAGAGAUUAACAAUGUAUCGAUUAACGUGAGACUCUCAGACAAGGAACUAAUAGAAAACACAGAAGAAAUCUUAAAAGAUGUAAAAUUUGAAAUUGAGAGUAUCAUUCUUACCUGCUCAAAGGCUAGUGUUAUAGUUUAUUGCCAAAUUUUGACAUCCUUGAUGUUCAGUAAUCAUAAACAGAAACUUUAUCAAUGUCUAAAAUUAAUCCACGAUACCUCCUUGGUCACUGAUGUGCAAUUUUACCAGGUAACUCCUUUUUUUUUAUUAGGUGCUCAUUAUUUUUACUCACAUGAAUUUAAUUUUACUCCUUUCAUCAUUUGUAUUCCUUGUUAUUCUGAAGUAAUGUUAGGAAAGAAAUGAAGUAAUGUUCCAAUAUUCUGUUUCAGUUCAAUCUUAGAGAUGAUCUGAAAGUCUUUUAUUCUGGAGGUUUAGCGCACUUUCAUACCGUAAUAUACCAUGUGUCCCAUGGACCAUUAUUAACCCAGUUACUUGGAUGAUCAAAAGUGAUAUUUCUUCAGUGUGCGUUGCCUGUAAUUUAAAUUAAAGUUAAAAUACCAGAUAAUAUUCCUUCUGAAUAUUUUCAUCUCUUUUGAAUUUGUCAUCACCCAAGUAGCAUUUUCAUCUACUUUCUAGGUGGCGCUCAUCAAGAAAAUGUCUACUUUCUAGAUAGAACAAUUUUCUUGAAAGAAAAUAGGUAUAAAGUAGAUCUAGAAAAUAGACACAAGAAAAUAGAAAGAAAAUACAUUUUUUCCUUGCAUUUUCUUAAAAGAAAACAUUAAGAAAUUGGCUAGAAAAUAAUUCUACUUUCAAUAAAUUUCUAUCUUUUUUCCAAAUGGAAAGUUGACAGAAGUAGACCUAUGAAAUAGAUCUAUUUUCUUUGGUCAGACUUUUGACUCGCAAUGUUUUUUCUUUCUAUUUUCUAGAUAACUCUCAUUUUCUUGGUAUUUUCUAGAAGUUUUCUUAAUAUUUUUUUUCUAGAAAAAAUUCUAUUUUGCUACUUGGGUAGUACACUCCAAAGAAACUCGUACGCAAAUAAAUUUGGAAAUUAGGAUUCUCUUUUUUCUCUCUCUGUGAUUUUUCUCUUUUAACCUUUUUUUCCUUUCAAUUUUGCAGGUGCUGUUUUAUUAGAUGUAAGUAUUUUUAAUGUCCAGACUGAGUUCAUUGAAACCAAUUUGUGUCAUUGUGCUAAGUUCUCCGUCCAUAAACUGCAAGCUUUCAUUGAAAAGCUUGCUUCAGAUUGUAACACUUGCUACAAGGCCAUGAUUUUUGGCGCUCCCAUGGUGCCUGAAAACAACGAACCCAUCGUCGAAGGUGAGUAGUGAAAAUAAUAAAAUUAGUUUUUCAAACUAUACAUGUCAUUGUCAUGUCCAAUUCAGAGAAGCUUUUAUUGA
rnacentral:lncRNA from 1 species